rnacentral:lncRNA from 1 species
GGAGAUAAAUCUUGUAAACGCCAUAUUCUAUUUAAAAUAUAUAUGUAUACUAUUUCCUCGGUUUUCUUAAAAACCGACGGAAUAUAGCUACAAAUGAGCUCGCUUCGAAUCCAUAUUACUGCAUUUUAUAUUUUUUUUUCAAUGGUUUAAUUAGUAUUUCUUAGUUGAUGCCUUUUCAGCUUUCCUUUUUUUCUUUGUUAUUUUUUU